UUGAUGGGGAUGAAGCAAUAUUUUCGAAAUUUCCAACACUUGGACUGAUUCCAUCUCUUGUGAUGCGAAAAUUUGCUGCUGAAUCAUU
rnacentral:snoRNA from 1 species